GAGAAUGAGAUGUCCUUGUAUGCUCAUAGCCAUGGAUGUUCAAAUUGGUCAAACACUUCAACUACUAUCCAAUAAUUUCCAAUUUUAAAGUAUGGUCGACUUCGUUAAAUGGUAAUUAUGUUAUUGAUACAGAAAAUGGCUUAAAUUUUAUUGUGUGGGCCAUAAUCGUAUGAUGUGUAUUGUCUUGUGUUUGAGCAUUUCUAAGGCUAUAGACAUGUUACCUAUAGCAUUAUAUAUUUGGCAUUUAUGUGUUAUCAAGUUGGAAUGUUUAGAAAAUAUGUAAAAUGUGAGACACACUCUAACUAUUCAUCCCUUGAUAUAUUUGAUGAGUUAUAUUUGUUGAAUUCAAUGUAUCUUUCAUGUAUAAUUUAAUCUAAUUAAAUUAUACAUAACCCCUCCGAUAAUUAUAACUAACCAUUUAACCAUUUUACAGAUUUUCUUUGGAGAUGCUCUUAGCUCAUUCCAUUAAUCUUAUGGCCGAAGAGAGAGUCUUCAAAAGAAAGAGCAAUAAUAUUUUCAUUUUUUUUGUGUGUGUGGGCAAAAAUUCAUAAACGAAAAAAAAAAAAGAAAACUUGAUUCAUAGCAAGCUAGGAGCUAGGCGUCCAAGGAUAUGAUGAGGGAUUAAGUGGUUUAAUAUGGCAUCCUGACGGCUGAUGAGCUAUAUAGUGGUGAUAUUUACAUAGCACCAACAUCGGCUAGUGAGCACCGAGAGAGCAAGCAAACAAGUGCAUAGAUGGAUCAACUCAUCAACACAUGAUGAAGAAGAAGAACAAGAACGAAGGCUAUAAUGGGCCGGUAUUAUAAGUUGAGAUCCACCGAACAAAUAUUUCACACACAAAUUUUAAUAAGCCGCCUUCCGGAUUUUAGUGCUCUUCUGCUCCCAUUUUUCUUCAGAUGGCGACUCCUUUCUUCAUCUAUACUUCAUGUACUACAAACCAAAUUUAUAAUGCUCCUCAUGGCUAUACAACAUGCACUAGACUUUGUGUGUC
rnacentral:lncRNA from 1 species